GCUUGUCUCAAAGAUUAAGCCAUGCAUGUCUAAGUAUAAGCAAUUAUACCGUGAAACUGCGAAUGGCUCAUUAAAUCAGUUAUCGUUUAUUUGAUAGUACCUUACUACUUGGAUACCUGUGGUAAUUCUAGAGCUAAUACAUGCUAAAAACCCCGACUUCGGGAGGGGUGUAUUUAUUAGAUAAAAAACCAACGCCCCUCGGGGCUCCUUGGUGAUUCAUAAUAACUUCUCAGAUCGCAUGGCCUUGCGCCGGCGACGGUUCAUUCAAAUUUCUGCCCUAUCAACUUUCGAUGGUAAGGUAGUGGCUUACCAUGGUUUCAACGGGUAACGGGGAAUUAGGGUUCGAUUCCGGAGAGGGAGCCGGAGGAACGGCUACCACAUCCAAGGAAGGCAGCAGG
rnacentral:rRNA from 1 species